rnacentral:rRNA from 1 species
UACGUAGGGUGCGAGCGUUUGUCCGGAAUUAUUGGGGCGUAAAGGGGCUCGUAGGCGGUUUGUCGCGUCGGGGAGUGAAUCCACUGGCUUAACUGGGUGGGCUUGCUUUCGAUACGGGGCAGACUGGAGGUAUGCAGGGGGAGAACGGAAUUCCUGGUGUAGCGGUGAAUGCGCAGAUAUCAGGAGGACACCGGUGGCGAAGGCGGUCUCUGGGCAUGUCCUGACGCUGAGGCACGAAAGCUAGGGUAGCGAACGGG